CCGGCGCACGGGUGAGUAACGCGUGUGCAACCUGCCCGGCACAGUGGGAUAAUCCGGAGAAAUCCGGUCUAAUACCGCAUGACGCGGGAAAGGCGCAUGCCUUUUCCGCCAAAGGAGGCGACUCCGGUGCCGACUGGGCACGCGUGACAUUAGCUAGUUGGCGGGGCGACGGCCCACCAAGGCGACGAUGUCUAGGGGUUCUGAGAGGAAGGUCCCCCACACUGGUACUGAGACACGGACCAGACUCCUACGGGAGGCAGCAG
rnacentral:rRNA from 1 species